rnacentral:rRNA from 1 species
AAUCAACGCUGGCGGCGUGCCUCAGACAUGCAAGUCGAACGCGAAAGUUUCCUUCGGGAAGCGAGUAGAGUGGCGUCCGGGUGAGUAACACGUAGGUAAUCUACCUUUGGGUGGGGAAUAACAACCGGAAACGGUUGCUAAUACCGCAUAAUGCAGCGGCACCACAUGGUGACAGUUGUUAAAGCGGGGGAUCGCAAGACCUCGCGCCUAAAGAGGAGCCUGCGGCGGAUUAGCUAGUGGUAAGGUAACGGCUUACCAAGGCAACGAUCCGUAGCCGGCCUGAGAGGCGGUCGGCCACACUGACACUGAAAUACGGGUCAGACUCCUACGGGAGGCAGCAGUCGGG